AUUUAAGAAUAGUGCAUGCGACGCCGCAUGAUAAACAGGAACAGUCGGGGGCAUCAGUAUUCAGUUGUCAGAGGUGAAAUUCUUGGAUUUACUGAAGACUAACUACUGCGAAAGCAUUUGCCAAGGAUGUUUUCAUUAAUCAGUGAACGAAGUUAGGGGAUCGAAGACGAUCAGAUACCGUCGUAGUCUUAACCGUAAACUAUGCCGACUAGGGAUCGGGCGAUGUUCUUUUCUGACUCGCUCGGCACCUUACGAGAAAUCAAAGUUUUUGGGUUCUGGGGGGAUUAUGGUCGCAAGGCUGAAACUUAAGAAAUUGACGGAAGGUCACCACCAGGCGUGGAGCCUGCGGCUUAAUUUGACUCAACACGGGGAAACUCACCAGGUCCAGAUGAAAUAAGGAUUGACAGAUUGAGAGCUCUUUCUUGAUUUUUCAGGUGGUGGUGCAUGGCCGUUCUUAGUUCGUGGGGUACUUGUCUGCUUAAUUGCGAUAACGAGCGAGACCUUACUCUGCUAAAUAGCCGGCUAACUUUGGUUGGUCGCCGGCUUCUUAGAGAGACUAUCAACUCAAGUUGAUGGAAGUUUGAGGCAAUAACAGGUCUGUGAUGCCCUUAGAUGUUCUGGGCCGCAGCGCGCUACACUGACAGAGCCACGAGUUCUUUUCCUUGUUCGAAAGAAUUGGGUAAUCUUGUUAAACUCUGUCGUGCUGGGGAUAGAGCAUUGAAAUAUA
rnacentral:rRNA from 1 species